rnacentral:rRNA from 1 species
UACGGAGGGUGCAAGCGUUUAAUCGGAAUUACUGGGCGUAAAGCGUGCGUAGGCGGUUCGUUAAGUCUGUUGUGAAAGCCCCGGGCUCAACCUGGGAAUGGCAAUGGAUACUGGCGAGCUAGAGUGUGUCAGAGGAUGGUGGAAGUUCCCGGUGUAGCGGUGAAAUGCGUAGAGAUCGGGAGGAACAUCAGUGGCGAAGGCGGCCAUCUGGACAACACUGACGCUGAGGCGACGAAAGCGUGGGGAGCAA